UGCAGAAUGUAGAACUCUUUGGACACUCGUAAACAGGUGGUGCAUGGUUGUCGUCAGCUCGUGUCGUGAGAUGUUGGGUUAAGUCCCGCAACGAGCGCAACCCUCGUUCUAUGUUGCCAGCACGUAAUGGUGGGAACUCAUGGGAUACUGCCGGGGUCAACUCGGAGGAAGGUGGGGAUGACGUCAAAUCAUCAUGCCCCUUAUGUCUUGGGCUUCACGCAUGCUACAAUGGCCGGUACAAAGGGCUGCAAUACCGCAAGGUGGAGCGAAUCCCAAAAAGCCGGUCCCAGUUCGGAUUGAGGUCUGCAACUCGACCUCAUGAAGUCGGAGUCGCUAGUAAUCGCAGAUCAGCAACGCUGCGGUGAAUACGUUCCCGGG
rnacentral:rRNA from 1 species